UACGUAGGCAGCGAGCGUUGUUCGGAGUUACUGGGCGUAAAGGGCGCGUAGGCGGCCUGCUAAGUCGAACGUGAAAUCCCCGGGCUCAACCCGGGAACUGCGUCCGAUACUGGCAGGCUUGAAUCCGGGAGAGGGAUGCGGAAUUCCAGGUGUAGCGGUGAAAUGCGUAGAUAUCAGGAGGAACACCGGUGGCGAAGGCGGUUCUCUGGGCCUGUACUGACGCUGAGGAGCGAAAGCGUGGGGGAGCGAACAGG
rnacentral:rRNA from 1 species